AGGUGAUUAGUCCAAUUAAGACCACUAAUUUCGACCUAGUAAAUCAUGUUUAAUACCAUGAUCACCUU
rnacentral:tRNA from 1 species